rnacentral:lncRNA from 1 species
ACCCUGGCACCUCCCCACAGCCCCGCAUCGGACCCAAGGACAGUCCCAGGAGACGUGGGGGCGCUCACCCCUUUCGUGGACGGGAAACUGAGGCAGGCGGGUGAAGGUCGGCUCACAUGCGGAGCUCAGGAAGCUCUGGACGGACUCGGAGCUGCUCUGCCAAUCAAAUGCCCAUGGUGAGUCCUCCCUGGAGCACAGAAGUGACCCACAAGGCAGAUGCUGCACGGCCUGGACAAGCAUUCAUCCUCAUGCCCAUCCGUGAAAAAAAUACAUCCAACCCACUCCGUUUUCCUGCCCCAGACGGUGCCCUUCCUGAGUGGUCUUUCCUUCGCCCUGGGGAGGCCCAGGAUUGCUAGCCCAUUCCACAGAGGGAAAAUUGAGGUCCAGGGAGGCGCUGCUUGGCCAGUACUGUUCUGCCUAAACCCCAAUCCAUACCACCACACUCUCAUUUUUGCAACACAAGGGCUCUCCCAAAAGACAUGGCAGGGAGAAGAAGGGUCACAAGAGACACAGCAUGGACCACCUGGUCCACAUUCUUUUGGUCUGGUUGCCUGAUUUCCUUUAGGGCCCUCCGCCUGCUUUCUUUAAGGCAGGAGGUCCCACAGGACUUAUUUCCCCCAGUCUAUCCAAGACUACCUACCUCAGUCAAGUUGGAAACAGUCUUUGGUGUAAUCCUGAAAUAAAAAAGCGAUGAUAAUUUGACCCUCCAUUGGGCCCCCUCCUGUAACAUCCCCUGGGAAAGAAACUCUAAGAAUAGCAGCCAGUGCUUCUGUCUCAUAGCUCAGGCCCUUUGGGGCACUCUCUUGAGAUUUGCUAUUCCCUUGAGAUUUGCUAUUCUGGCGGCCAGGCCUUUGCUCGGGCAGCGCUCUCCUCCUGCCAGGCCCUUCUUCCUGGCAGCCCUCCAUUCUUCCUGGAGCCCCUUCUUCCCCACGAAGAUUCUAUCUAGGCAGGGUCUUAUCUCCCUGCAGUCAGCCCAUAUGCCCCAGAAGAAAGGGGCCACAUUUCCCCACCAACACCCCGCCCUGUGCCUGACUCCAAGGGGCCAGGGAGAGGUUUGCGGAGUUGACCGCCCCCUCUCUUCUCUGCAGCACAUACUGGAAAUCCAAGAGGCUUAAGAAGAGCUUUUUCUUAGAAUAGGAGGCCUGGACGGUAGUCACGAUAUCCUGGGGAGAGAAACCAAAUUUGCUGUGAGCCAGGGCUCUUCCCGAAGCAGAGAGCAACCCUCCUAGCUCAGGGCCCCUGAUUCUUUCCACUGAGGGACUGGAGAGGCAAGGAUGACACGGGAACCAGGCUUAGCUACUGCUCUUCUGAAAACCGAGGAAAGUUCCCCAGCACCUGUGGCUUUGGGGUUAGGACCUGAGAAGUCACUUUCUUUUUCUUUUCUUUUCUUUUUUUGUUUUUGAGACAGUCUCACUCUGUUGCCCAGGCUGGAGGGCAGUGGCACGAUCUCAGCUCACUGCAACCUCCACGUCCCAGGUUCAAGCGAUUGUCCUACCUCAGCCUCCCAAGUAGCUAGGACUACAGGCAUGUGCCACCAUGUCCGGCUAAUUUUUGUAUUUUUAGUAGAGAUGGGGUUUCAUCAUAUUGGCCAGGCUGGUCUUGAACUCCUGACCAUGUGAUCCACCCACCUCAGCCUCUCAAAGUGCUGGGAUUACAGGCGUGAGCCACCGUGCCCGGCCGAAUAAUUCUUUUUUUUAACAAAUGCUCAAUGUUUCAGAUUCUUAACAACAAAAAAAUAAGUAAAUAAAAUAAUAUGUCUACAUCCACAUGAGAAAGCCAAAAGGAAUAAAACAGAAAAAUGAAAAGGAAAGUAAUACAAAAAUUAAAGAGAUAUUUAAAAGGCUAAAUAAACUGGGCACAGUGGCUCAUGCCUAUAAUCCCAACACUUUGGGAGGCCAAGGUGGGAGGAUCACUUGAGCCCAGGGAUUUGAGACCAGCUUGGGCAAUGUGGCAAAACCCUGUCUCUACAAAAAAAUACGUGGUAGUGCACAUCUCUAGUCGAGAAGCUGAGGUGGGAGGAUCACCGCUGCACUCCAGCCUGGGCAGAAACAAACAGACAAACAAACAAACAAACAACAACAAAAAAGAACGGCUAAAUACAAUGUGCUAUCCUGGAUCAGAUCUUGGAAAAGAAAAAGGGUAUCAUCAGUGGAAAAACUGGGGAGAUUCAAAUAAAGUUUAGAGUUUGGUUAACAGUCAUGCACCAAUGUUAAUCUCUCCGCUAUGACACUGUAGCAUGGUUAUGUAAGAUGUGGACAAAGCGGGAAGUGGGUGGGGGAUAUAUGGGAACACUCUGUAUUUUGCAACUUUUAUUCAAAUAUAAAGUUACUCCAAGAUAAAAAAUUUAUUUAAAAAUAACAAAGCACCAGAAGGAAAUGCACCCAGUCACCACAUCGAAGGCCCCUGGAGAAGGGGGUUAUGGUGACAGUGGUUUUCUUCUUUCUAUUUUUCUAUAUUUUCCACAAUGUGAUUGUAUCGCUCUUGUCUUUAGUUCUUAAUGUAUUAAGAAAUAUUGGCCGAGCACAGUGGCUCAUGCCUGUAAUCCCAGCACUUUUGGAGGCUGAGGCAGGUGGAUCACUGGAGGUCAGGACUUUGAAACUGGCCUGGCCAACCUGGUGAAACCCCGCCUCUACUAAAAAUUAGCUGGGCGUGGUGGCACGCGCCUGUAGUGCCAGCUAGCUACUGGGGAGGCUGAGGCACGCGAAUCGCUUGAACCAGGAAGGUGGAGGUUGCAGUGAGCCGAGAUUGCACCACUGCACUCCAGCCUGGGUGACAGAGUGAGACUCUGUCUCAAAAAAAAAAAUUGAAGAUAUUCUAAGGAGCAUUAAAGAUAAUACUGAUUCUUAAUUCCUUAUUUGUAAUUAUAAAAUCAAACAGGAUCUGAAAACUACAAGUUUUUUCUUAAGUUUUGUUGGCAAAACCUGGCCAUUGUCUAGGAAGCUAUGUAUGGUAUUUAUCUUGCUUCAUAUGAGGAGAAAUGCCAAUUGAGGCAUUUGAGGAGAAUUGAUUGUGGGGUGCCACCCCACACCCUAUUGGGGUGUUCUGCAAUAUAUCCAGUGUCUAUACACUAUACUACUUUUACAAAUUCACAGAAGUUCUGAAUUUGGAAACCCUUGUGGCCCUAAUGAAUAAAGGGUUGUGGACUCGGGUAAUAAACACCAUUGUCCACUGCUCAGCUUAAGGAGGAGAAUAUUGGCUGGGCGUGGUGGCUCAUGCCUGUAAUCCCAGCACUUUGGGAGGCUGAGGCGGGCAGAUCACUUGAAACCAGGAGUCUCAGACCAGCUGGGCCCACAUAGCGAAACCCUGUCUCUACUAAAAAUACAAAAAAUUAGUCAGGCGUGGUAGCGCAUGCCUGUAAUCCCAGCUACCUGGGAGGCUGAGGCAUGAGAAUCGCUGGAACCUGGGAGGCAGAGGUUGUAGUGAGCCGAGAUUGUGCCACCGCACUCCAGCCUGGGCAACACAGUGAGACUCUGUGUCAAAAAAAUAAAUAAGUAAAUAAAUAAAUAAUAAAUAAAAAUAAGAAUGAAAGAACAUAUGCUUGGCAUGGUGGCUCAUGCCUAUAACCCCAGCAACUUAGGAGGCCAAGGCAGGAGAAUUGCUUGAGGCCAGGAGUUUGAGAACAGCCUGGACAACAUAACAAGACCCCGCCUCUAAGGAAAUUUUUUUUUUUAAAUUAGCCAGGUGUGGUGGUGUUUGUCUGUGGUCCCAGCUACUCAGGAGGGCUGAGGUGGGAGGAUCACUCGAGCCCAGGAUUCGAGGCUGCAGUGAGCUAUGAGUGUGAGGCUGCACUCCAGCCUGGAUGACAGAGUGAGACCCUGUCUCUAAAAAAAAUAAAAAUAAGAAAAGAGAGAAAAUAUUACCUAAGCUGUGGAAACCACGUGUGUACCCCCUCGUUACUUGCAUGAUGUGAUUUUGAUUGUAAGGAGCCAUGUGCAAGAGACAACCAGUGCCAGCAGAGGUGGUGAGAAGGAUCUGGAGGCUUCAGAGACCCCCAGGCCCCUGCCCUCUGCGGCCCAUAUGUGAGUCAGGUUCCCCCACCACCACCUCUCCC